rnacentral:rRNA from 1 species
UACGGAGAGUGCAAACGUUGUUCGGAUUCACUGGGCGUAAAGGGCACGUAGGCGGCUCGGCAAAUCGGUCGUGGAAUCCAGACGCUUACCGCCUGAACGGCGGCCGAAAAUACCGGGCUCGAGGGCGUGAGGGGUCACUGGAACUCCUGGUGAAGCGGUGAAAUGCGUAGAUAUCAGGAGGAACGCCGGAGGCGAAAGCGAGUGACUGGCGCGUUCCUGACGCUGAGGUGCGAAAGCUAGGGGAGCGAACGGG